rnacentral:lncRNA from 1 species
UAGGGAGAUACAUGAUUGGUGGGCUGUAUAUAAAACUAAAGCUAGAAAUUCUUUUAAUAUCCCUUCAGCAGAUACAGAUGAUGACAAUGUAUCUCCGGAUAUUGAUGUGUAUCAAGAGGAUGAUAUCACAAAUCCAUCUGUAGUUCAAGCUAAUGAAGAACUUGAUGCACCCAAUUUGCUAGUUGAUUUCUUUCAGUAUGAAAUACUUGAUGAUGAUGAGAUACUUAAGUUGCGACAAAAACUAGAAGAAGCAAUGGC